GUGAUCGUCAAUUUGGCUGUGAAUUCUGGUUUUUAAAUAUGAUAUCACAGCCACUUUGAUGAGUUAGG
rnacentral:pre_miRNA from 1 species